CCUACGGGUGGCAGCAGUGAGGAAUAUUGCUCAAUGGGCGAGAGCCUGAACCAGCCAAGUCGCGUGAAGGAUGAAGGUUCUAUGGUUUGUAACCUCCUUUUAUAUGGGAAUAAAGUGAGGAACGUGUUCCUUUUUGUAUGUACCAUAUGAAUAAGCAUCGGCUAACUCCGUGCCAGCAGCCGCGGUAAUAUGGAGGAUGCGAGCGUUACCCGGAUUUAUUGGGUUUAAAGGGUGCGUAGGUGGUUAAUUAAGUCAACGGUGAAAGUUUGUGGCUCAACCAUAGAAUGGCCGUUGAAACUGGUUGACUUGAGUAUAUUUGAGGUAGGCGGAAUGCGUGGUGUAGCGGUGAAAUGCAUAGAUAUCACGCAGAACACCGAUUGCGAAGGCAGCUUACUAAAAUAUAACUGACACUGAAGAACGAAAGCGUGGGGAUCAAACAGGAUUAGAUACCCUUGUAGUC
rnacentral:rRNA from 1 species